GUAGACUUUGAAAAUCCUGUUUUACUUCAGGCUAUAUGUGCUUCCUGACUUGCAAAACCUGCAGCAGAAAUGGCCAGUCCAGCUGCCACCACUGUACUGACCGUGGCUGCAGCUCAGCUUCUUUCACCUCCAUCUGGAUUGGUACAGCCACCUGCCACUAACUACACUCCUUUACCAGAAAGCUAGGCAGCCACUGCCAGCAGUCACAAACCCCAGAGGGAACUUUAAAAAAACAGUUGAGUGUUACUCCUGAACAGCACCAUUAGCGCCCCACCUCACUUACGUAGACUUACGAGGCUCUGUCAUAUUCCACCCCCAUCCCUUUCUUCAGCCACAUUGUCCUUGUUUUUUCUCAAAUGUGGUUCAGCCUUUGGACCUGCUGUGUCUUGUCUGCAGUGUUCUUGGCUAUGAGAACAGCUUCUCCCACACCUUCAAAUGUUGCCACUUCAGUAAGGCUCUUCCCAUUUACAGCCUUAAGUUGUGACGCUUUUUACUGGUUUUCCCCGUCCAGUUCCUUCUAACAUAGUGGAGUAUGCUUGUUACCUCCCCUUCGCUAGAAUGCAAGUUCCAGGCCAGGCAGGGAUAUUGGUUUUGUCCUUUCUACUUCAAACUCUGCCUAGGGUAUAGUGGGCGUAUGUCUACUGAUGGAAAUAAAUGAAUCAGUGCUUUCAUGUCAGUGUGUAACAUUUUCUUGGGUUUAGAUGUACCUGCUAUUGAAGAGGCAAAGUAUCCUCUUGAUAUACUUUAUUUCUCUGUAACCCUGGUACUAGAAAUGUAGUAUAAAAUUAUUUUUAUAUUUUCAAAUAAAACAUUCUGAAAAUGCAAAACAUCUAAAUUAAAUGGAUGAUUAUCUUAUGGAAAAUACUGUGUGAAUAAACUCAAAGGAAUCCCAAACAAAUAAUUUAACAGUCAUAAUAAUCCUUUAUUAGUACCAGCUCUUAAAAUUUUUUUUUUUUGCCAGAGCUAAACAAUUUAAUAUAAAAAAUGCCAUUUUUU
rnacentral:lncRNA from 10 species